CAAUAGCGUAUAUUAAAGUUGUUGCGGUUAAAAAGCUCGUAGUUGGAUUUCUGCUGAGGACGACCGGUCCGCCCAUUGGGUGUGCAUCUGGCUUGUUCUCGGCAUCUUCUUGGUGAACGUUGCUGCACUUGACUGUGUGGAGCGCUACCCAGGACUUUUACUUUGAGGAAAUUAGAGUGUUUCAAGCAGGCAUAUGCCUUGAAUACAUUAGCAUGGAAUAAUAAGAUAGGACCUCGGUUCUAUUUUGUUGGUUUCUAGAGCUGAGGUAAUGAUUAAUAGGGACAGUUGGGGGCAUUCAUAUUCCAUUGUCAGAGGUGAAAUUCUUGGAUUAACGGAAGAUGAACUACUGCGAAAGCAUCUGCCAAGGAUGUUUUCAUUGAUCAAGAACGAAAGUUAGGGGAUCGAAGAUGAUUAGAU
rnacentral:rRNA from 1 species